rnacentral:rRNA from 1 species
CCUACGUGAGGCAUCAGUGAGGAAUAUUGGUCAAUGGGCGCUAGCCUGAACCAGCCAAGUAGCGUGAAGGAUGACUGCCCUAUGGGUUGUAAACUUCUUUUAUAUAGGAAUAAAGUGACGCAUGUGUGCUUUUUUGUAUGUACCUUAUGAAUAAGGAUCGGCUAACUCCGUGCCAGCAGCCGCGGUAAUACGGAGGAUCCGAUCGUUAUCCGGAUUUAUUGGGUUUAAAGGGAGCGUAGAUGGGUUGUUAAGUCAGUUGUGAAAGUUUGCGGCUCAACCGUAAAAUUGCAGUUGAUACUGGCAGUCUUGAGUACAGUAGAGGUAGGCGGAAUUCGUGGUGUAGCGGUGAAAUGCUGAGAUAUCACGAAGAACUCCGAUUGCGAAGGCAG